CCUACGGGUGGCUGCAGUGGGGAAUAUUGCACAAUGGGGGAAACCCUGAUGCAGCGACGCCGCGUGCGUGAAGAAGUAUUUCGGUAUGUAAAGCUCUAUCAGCAGGGAAGUAAUCAAGUCCUUUGGACUUUGGACGCUACCUGCCUAUGAAGCCCCGGCUAACUACGUGCCAGCAGCCGCCGUAAUACGUAGGGGGCAAGCGUUAUCCGGAUUUACUGGGUGUAAAGGGAGCGUAGACGGCAGCGCAAGUCUGGAGUGAAAUGCCAUGGCUUAACCAUGGAACUGCUUUGGAAACUGGGCAGCUAGAGUGCAGGAGAGGUAAGCGGAAUUCCUAGUGUAGCGGUGAAAUGCGUAGAUAUUAGGAGGAACACCAGUGGCGAAGGCGGCUUACUGGACUGUAACUGACGUUGAGGCUCGAAAGCGUGGGGAGCAAACAGGAUUAGAUACCCCAGUAGUC
rnacentral:rRNA from 1 species